rnacentral:lncRNA from 12 species
UAGAAAGGGCAGGGAGUGCUUUCAGCAAGACUUGGUGAAGAUCAGCCAGAGCACAGGAGACCUGUGCAGCAGACGAAGUUGAAUGUUUCAGUCCCUCAGCUGCAUAUGAGAGAGAGGUUG